ACCUGUGAAGUCUGCUGUGAUAGGCUUGGCAACCUGUGAAGCGUGCUGUGAUAGGCUUGACAUCUUGUGAAGAGUGUUGGUUACACGUUGAGCAUUGUUCAACGUAGGUACAAAUUGCAGAAGAGGGGAUUCUUGCUGCAAUUCUGGUUUUUGUGUGUGCAACUAUAUUUUGGUUUUGGGUUAGAGAGGAGAUUUAUAUUUUUG
rnacentral:lncRNA from 1 species